UCCACAACAAUUCAAAAGUAGGAGGAGGACAAUCAUCCAAAAACCACCUGGGAGUAAAAUGUUUAACCUUAAACCAAAUUUCAUAUAAAAUCACAUUAAAACAUGCAUACCAGAUCAAUAGGCAACUAAAAAAGAAAAAUUGGAUUUCCUUUAAAAGUUGAAUAAAUAAUCAAGUAAAUAAGAUGAAGGAAUCACCUGUCAUGUUAAAAUGUAUAAUAUAAUAAAACUCAGCACCAAAUACAAAAAAAGACACCACCAGGUUCAGCAAUCAAAUGCUUCUUUCUUAUUAUUUUAACCUCCUCCUCGUUC